CAAGUGGUUUUUUCUUUUUCUGUCUUUAAUUAGAAGCAAUAUUUGUUUCAUUUUGAAAAAUCAAAGGGAAAAGAAUAACUGGAAGAAAAAUGAGAAUUAGAGCUAACCCUUCACCGGUUACUUUAUGCUUGGAAUCUCACACCCUUGGUGUCAGAAGGGGCCUUCAAGGUUUUCUAAACUAAGGUUAACUGUGUACAGGAGUUCUCGUUUCCUAGUGGAGGACGAUCAUGCUGGAGAAUGCCGGCCACUCCCAUAGAACCCUUCUGGGAGGCUCCUUCUGCGUGUAUUCCUACUGGUACCACAUGAAACUACCUUAUGGCUGCUGCUGACCCAAGGUGGAGAUAAGUGGCCCAUGAGAUGUCCUGACACAAAUGUCCAUACAAGGGCAAUGGAUGAUUUUCAGUGAGUUGGGGUAAAGAGAUGUUAGGGCUGCAUGGAGCA